UACCAGCAGUCCAAGUCGCAAUCAACUUUAUUGGGUCUAAAACAUCCGUAGCUUGCUAUGUAAGUCUCUUGUGAAAUCCUGCCUCUCAAGGGUAGAAGUGCGAGAGAUACUGCGUAGCUAGAGACCGGGAGACGUGGGAAGUACGGUUAGGGUAGCGGUAAAAUGCGUUGAUCCUUUCUGGACUAACAAUAGCGAAGGCAUCCUGCGAGAACGGAUCUGACAGUGAGGGAUGAAGGCUAGGGGCGCAAAACGGAUUAGAUACCCGCGUA
rnacentral:rRNA from 1 species